GGCGCGCGCGCGCACGGGGUCGGGCGCUCCCGGGCGGCGGUGGCACCACGUAGCCGCCUCCUUCCACCGCUCGCUUUAUCCCCGCCCCUUCUCGGGCCAACCCCAAGCGCCGCUGACCCCGAACGUCGCUGCGGGGUAGGUAGGGGGUGGGAGGGUGGAGGACCGCAGGCGAGAGGGAGAAGGAAGGGCGCCCGGGGAGCAGGCUGGCAGAGUGACCGGGAUUGAUGAGCGGCGCAGCUCUGGAGGGACGCGGGCGAGAGGGUCGCUCCUCGGGGAGAGGGCUGGUUUUGCCUUUUCCGGAAUGCCAUAUAUAAGGAAUCAUACAGUAUGCAGUCUUUCUUUCAAUUUUGCUGUGAAACUAAAACUGCUAAGAAAAUAAAGUCUUAAAAAGAAAAAUCAAUGGAGAAGGGAAAGGAGAAAAGGAGAAAAAUUUUCUGUCUGAAUACUGCUAAGGCCACCUCCCUUAUAACUCUGAGGUUGAAAAAUGGUUAAUAAGUUUAACUACUGACAAGUUAAUCAGCUCUUCAAGUGGCAGUGAAAACAGCCGCCCUGCUGGUUGCCUCCACACCCCUCCUGCCGCCUUCCUCUCAGAACCCUAGCAGCUGUGUUCAGCGUCCCCCUCUUAAAGCAGCCACAUGCUCUGGGAAGACUGGCCCUCUGCGUCACAUCUGGCAGUCCCAUUCCUCUUGCUAAUGUGUGGUUCAGGAAUGGGCAGGUGGCCCAAUUCUGGUCAACAAGCCAUGAGAAGAAUCUGCUAGAGGUUUCCUUGCAUCUAAGAAAUGGUCUCUUUCGCCCUUGGACUUGGUUGGGUUUGGAUGUGAUGCCUCGAUCCUCUACAGCCUGAUGACAAAGACCACACCAAGGAUGGCAGAGUGGAAGGAUAAAAAGAACCAGGGCCUUCCAGCCUUUGUUGUAUGGCUGACUUAACCAACCUUGAAGGUGGCCUUACUCACGACUUCCUGUCAGAUGAGACAAAUUUCUUGGUUAAGAUACUUUGACAGGGGUUUUCCGUUUCAUACAACUGAAAGUAUCCUGACUUAAACACCUUUUGAGGUUCUGCCCCAAGCCUUUAUUGAUUUUCUCCUCUUGAAUCACCACCAGCAUUUCUGCAUUUCUCUUAGUACCACGUUUUUUCUAUUCCCCACACCCACCACCCCCUCUCUUCCCUAGCUGUUUCUGUCUCAAACAAUACAGGGAAACAUUUUAGGGUGUCUGACAGAUCACACCCACCCCUUUCUCAGACCUUCUCAACCACAAGGUGCUCUCCCACCUCCAGCGAGGUUUGUACUUCACAGUUGAUGGGGUCCCGGUAGAUUCAGGCUGGGCCAACCUGAGAGUCUGUCUCAGUAACAAAGGGAACCCUGCGCCCAGCUGAAGUGCAGGCAAUGUUUACCCGAAAGCUGGGGGUGGGUCCGCAUUUCCAGGAGGAAGCCAAGACUCUCCCUCAUCCUCUGCAGAAAGAGGAAGGAAGCCUAAACAGAGAAAAACAGUAGCAGAGUCUGACAGCCUGGGUGCUGUGUAUGGUUGUGCAUUUUGUGCUCUGAAAGGCUCCCAUCCCUGCUAAAGGCCUGCUUCUAGAUUUAAAGAGGACUCUGUCUUUGAGGUCUAUGAGAUUUUUAGAUGGAAUCAUUCAUCACAUCCCAUUUGGGCUUUAGAUACUUUGAAGUGAGUAUCUCAAAUUUUCAAAUCAAAGAACCCUGAUUAAAACAAAAGGUCUUCUCACCUCAAAUCCUUUAUGAAAUGAGGUCAACUUAAAAUACUUUUUAGUUAGCUAUGAUAUAAAAUUAAACUAUAUUUUUGUUAUAGUUAAUGAAUUAAUAUUGUAUCUUCUGUUCCUUAGUCGAAAAGUGAGCAGUUAAAUGGUCUAUUUCUCUAACAAAACAAUUAACUGAUUCCUCAGGAUUUACCGCCCACUGUGACCCUCUUGCCCUGUGCCCACACAUACCUACUAAAGACCAGUUUUCAGAUCCCCAGGAAUAACAUAAAAUGGGGCAUAUCUGUCUCGUAAAUAUGAUUGAAUAAGCAUAUGUAGAGCACAGUUGUUUCACUUUUAAGAAUCAAUUAUAAUCAUUUGUACAAUAAAAUGAAUUAUGUCUUUCACAC
rnacentral:lncRNA from 1 species